rnacentral:rRNA from 1 species
GAUGAACGCUGGCGGAGUGCCUAACACAUGCAAGUCGAGCGGCAGCGCGAGUAGUUUACUACUUGGCGGCGAGCGGCGGACGGCUGAGUAACGCGUGGGAACAUGCCCCAAAGUGAGGAAUAACUGCCCGAAAGGGUAGCUAAUGCCGCAUACGAUCUUCGGAUUAAAGGAUUUAUCCGCUUUGGGAGUGGCCUGCGUACGAUUAGAUAGUUGGUGAGGUAAUGGCUCACCAAGUCUACGAUCGUUAACUGGUUUGAGAGGAUGAUCAGUCAGUCUGGAACUGAGACACGGUCCAGACUCCUACGGGAGGCAGCAGUGAGGAAUCUUCCACAAUGGACGAAAGUCUGAUGGAGCAACUCCGCGUGCAGGAUGAAGGCCUUCGGGUCGUAAACUGCUUUAUGAGUGAGAAUAUGACGGUAACUCAUGAAUAAGGGUCGGCGUAACUGCGUGCCAGCAGCCGCGGUAAU